rnacentral:misc_RNA from 1 species
UACUGGUCCACAUUUUGGCCAUCCUGCAGUGCAAGGGUGAAAUUCAAGGCCAUGACUAGAAUCCCAUUCCAGGUGUUCUAGGGUAGUACAGUUAGAGAUCAACAGAUAACUAUUUAUGUUUGUUUUUAUACUCCAUAAUUACACCAAUCAACUAACUAAAGAAAGAUUAAUGAUGAUAACAGCAUAAAGAAAGAAUAACCACCAGAAGUUUAUGAGAAUUAAUCCCAGUACAUUAGAAAGAAGGUGAAGACUAGACAUGAACAUAUGACAGGUGCUGGUUGAGCUAAUCUUUUAGAUGAGCGAACAGUAUUGAUCAAGUGAAAAGUGUUAUGUGAGAUCAAAAUAAAUACACACCACCUAUUAGAAGCUGCUUUAGAUAUUUUGCAUCAGAAAAACAAUUCACUAGGUAAAUCAUUUGUAGUUAAGAAUUUUAACAUUUAAAUUCCAGGCACUUGAAAAACAAAAUGUAUUUAACCCCAGCCCUAAAGAAGGAAUACAAUAAAAUUCAAGGUUUAUCAACUGUUCUGGGCAACUUUACUUCCCACUUCAUAAAGAUCUGAUGGUCAUGAAAACGUAAAACUAAAACUGCUGUCUCAAAUUGGCACUAAUUUUUCACAGAAGAUAUCGAGGUCCUAGUUCUGGGAAUUCUUAAUUCAGCAUUUGUGAGAAUGCAGACACUUGACACAUUAUAACUUUAGUUACCAGCUAUUCACUUAAGUUACAAUUAGUAUGUGCGGUGGAACACACAUCAGACAUUCCACCACAAAGAGACGUGGUCAUUUGUUACUUCAGCUCAAAUAUAGGGAUAAAAGUUUAAAAAUAAAUAAAUAAAUAAUAAGAAAAACCAUAUCCAUGUUGGACGCAUGCAUGUCCAAGUAUCUGUAUAUUUAAUCCAACCAACAUAGCAUAACAAAAAGAAACCAUAUUUUUCAAUGAAGGAAUGGGUGAAAUAAAACCAGUAUGGGGGAAAAGGGAAUGUUCUAAUUUCUCAAUUGCUUUUUCUAAAUAAAAACAUACCCGUUAACAAGAUCAACAAUUCUUGGUUACAGCUGCUUGUCA